GUUUAACAAGGUCUUAUUUCUUUUUUAGGUUGUGUCUUUGUGGCAGAGAUAAAGUGGUGUAUAUAAGAUCAUAGAUGGGUCCACGUGGUUUCAGAUUUCUACUGUAGGGUAAAAAAGAGAUUCCAAAGAGGAACGAGAUAUGCAUCAAAGAGAUGAGCAAGAUGCUUAAUUUGCAAUUUUCAUCAUGGUAUGCCUAUAAUAGUUACGCGUCGGCAGCAGCAACAAGGGACGGAAGUGUAAACGUAGCAUUAGUAAGGUUGUGUUCAAGUGACAAAAAAGUUCAAGAUCAAAGAAACAGAUCACGGGUGGAUGUGUUUUU